rnacentral:rRNA from 1 species
CCUACGGGAGGCAGCAGUGGGGAAUAUUGGGCAAUGGGGGCAAGCCUGACCCAGCAACGCCGCGUGAAGGAAGAAGGCUUUCGGGUUGUAAAGUUCUUUCAUUAGGGACGAAACAAAUGAGGGUACUACACGAAUAAGCCACGGCUAACUACGUGCCAGCAGCCGCGGUAAUACGUAGGGGGCAAGCGUUAUCCGGAUUGACUGCGUGCAAAGGGCGUGUAGGCGGGACUGCAAGUCAGAUGUGAAAAGUAUGGGCUCAACCCAUGACCUGCAUUUGAUACUGUAGGUCUUGAGUGCUGGAGGGGCAGGCGGAAUUCCGUGUGUAGCGGUGAAAUGCGUAGAUAUACGGAGGAAUACCGGUGGCGAAGGCAGCCUGCUGGACAUUAACUGACGCUGAGGCGCGAAAGCGUGGGGAGCAAACAGGAUUAGAUACCCCAGUAGUC